AAAACAACAGAGAACACUCACUCCAUGUUCAGCAUGAAGGAGAACUGCAUGAUCCAGGGAGGUUUAGGGGACCAAGAAGGUGGAUAGGCUCUAACUGGGGCAGGCAGCAGGUGCGGCUGCAGAAAAGCGAAGGACUCCGAGCCCCGUGGUGCCUGCCUAAGAGUGAGCCAAACUCAGAAAGCCUGAGGCCCUUCUAGAUGAAAGUGCCGAUGGGAUAUGUGCCUGUUGGACAAGGCCCAACUUCUCCAACCUUGGAAUCAAGUUGGACACUGUUGCCCUCAUUUUCUGUCCCACACCAUUUUACCUCAAAGCAAUCAUUGAAAACCCAGCUUUGGAAAGAUAUGACAACUGUGAAAGGAAUAUACUGCAAUCUGAUGUUCGAACUGUGAACUUCCUCAAUCGAGUAGUUCCCAAGGUGUCCAAGAAGGGUCAGCUAUCAAUGUAUAUCCUCUGAAAACUGGAAAUAUUCCAUGGCACCCCUGUGAACUCACUGUGGCCCCUACAGUUUGAGAACCAUAGCCUUGUCUCAUAUUGCUUCUGAUACACAGAGUGCCAUGCUGAUUUGGGUGUAUUCUUUUCCUGUCUUUGUACUCUCCACAUAUAUUAUAAAAUGUGGACCAGAAGAAUUCUAUAUUUCCCUUUUUUUAAUUUGACAAUGUUAUGAGUGUAUUCCCAUGUCAAUAAAAAUUCUUUUAAAAAUUAUUUAUAUCUGAAUCAUAUACCAAAUUUACCAAUAUCGAAUUUAAUCUUCCUCCAGUCCUUGAAUUUUCCAGCUGUAUUUCAUUUUGCUAUUAUCUGUCAAUAUUCCUUAAAAUGGAUUUCUAGAAGCAGUAUUACCAAAUGAACUUCUUAAACAAUCUUGAUAACUAUUGUUAAAUUGCUUUUCAGAAAUAAUGCACUAAUUUAUAUUCCAAUAAAAAAUACAUGGCAGUGGCUAUUUUGCCACAUUCUUAACUGCACUGGGUAUUUCCAUUAAUAAAAUAAAAUCUCCUC
rnacentral:lncRNA from 1 species